GGUAGGAGGUAAGUAAUGAAGAGGAGAGGGCCGAGGACGGAACCUUGGGGAACACCAGUGGAAAAUGAUGAUGACUGAGAUCUAAAGGAUUUGAGUUGGAUUAACUGAGUGCAGUCUGAGAAGUAAGAUUGAAACCAGCGGAGGGGGGUGGAGGUAAUACCGAGAGAAGAAAGUCUAUGGAGGAUGAUGGAAUGGGAUAUUGUGUCAAAGGCUGCACUCAGGUCAAGGAGGAUGAGGAUGGUGAUGAGUCCAGAAUCAGCUGCAAGGAGGAGGUCAUUAGUGAUUUUUAUGAGAGCUGUUGAAAAGGUUCAGAGAGGUUAUUUUGCAUGAGAUGAAAGUUAAGUUGAGAGGCAACAUUUUUUUCAAGGAUUUUGGUGACAAAUGGCAAGUUAGAAUUGGAUGGUAGUUGCUAAGAAUAUUAGGAUCAGAACCAGGUUUUUUUUUCAGAAUUGGUUUGACAGCAGCCGUUUUGAGAAAUGAAGGAACAAUACCAGUCGUUAAUGAAGAGUCUCUAUUGAGGGUCGUGGGGGGGGGGGGUGAUUAUCAUACUGUAAAUUAAAAUCUCCCAUCACAAUUAUAUUGGGGGAUAAAGAUGGCAGAUGAGUAAACAAAGUUCCCACUUGCAUAGUUCCCACUUGGAGGAGGUCUGGGGAGCAUGAAUGCACUACAUUCCAUAGAACUGAAUGAUGGGAGGGAGAGCGGGAGUACUUUCAACUUCUCGCAAUAAAUCACAGCAAGACCUCCUCCGCGGCCAGAGCAUCGAAGUUGACAGAUGUAAACGAAGCCGGGAGGCGUGGAGUCGUUGAUUUGUGAAAAGUCAUUAAGUUGCUGCCAAGUUUCUGUCACACAGAGAAUGUCAAACUUACGGUUAGAUAAUGCGUCCAUAAUCAGCUGACCCUUGUUAGAGAGAGAGUUGAUGUUGAUGAGACCAAAGUUGAUGGUUGCAGAGUAGCAAAAAAUAAAUAAAAGUAAAUUUCCUUCCAAAACAAAAUUUUUAAGGAACCUUCUUUAAUAAUAAGAUAAAUGCAGUAAUAAAAAUUAAUGAUUACAAACUGAAAAUGCAUUGAUGUUCUGCUCCAUGAUCCUAACCUAUCACUGCUUUCUAAAAGUAACAUGUAAAAAUAAAAAA